AGCGUACACGGUGGAUGCCCUGGCAGUCAGAGGCGAUGAAGGACGUGCUAAUCUGCGAUAAGCGUCGGUAAGGUGAUAUGAACCGUUAUAACCGGCGAUUUCCGAAUGGGGAAACCCAGUGUGUUUCGACACACUAUCAUUAACUGAAUCCAUAGGUUAAUGAGGCGAACCGGGGGAACUGAAACAUCUAAGUACCCCGAGGAAAAGAAAUCAACCGAGAUUCCCCCAGUAGCGGCGAGCGAACGGGGAGCAGCCCAGAGCCUGAAUCAGUGUGUGUGUUAGUGGAAGCGUCUGGAAAGGCGCGCGAUACAGGGUGACAGCCCCGUACACAAAAAUGCACAUAUUGUGAGCUCGAUGAGUAGGGCGGGACACGUGGUAUCCUGUCUGAAUAUGGGGGGACCAUCCUCCAAGGCUAAAUACUCCUGACUGACCGAUAGUGAACCAGUACCGUGAGGGAAAGGCGAAAAGAACCCCGGCGAGGGGAGUGAAAAAGAACCUGAAACCGUGUACGUACAAGCAGUGGGAGCACGCUUAGGCGUGUGACUGCGUACCUUUUGUAUAAUGGGUCAGCGACUUAUAUUCUGUAGCAAGGUUAACCGAAUAGGGGAGCCGAAGGGAAACCGAGUCUUAACUGGGCGUUAAGUUGCAGGGUAUAGACCCGAAACCCGGUGAUCUAGCCAUGGGCAGGUUGAAGGUUGGGUAACACUAACUGGAGGACCGAACCGACUAAUGUUGAAAAAUUAGCGGAUGACUUGUGGCUGGGGGUGAAAGGCCAAUCAAACCGGGAGAUAGCUGGUUCUCCCCGAAAGCUAUUUAGGUAGCGCCUCGUGAAUUCAUCUCCGGGGGUAGAGCACUGUUUCGGCAAGGGGGUCAUCCCGACUUACCAACCCGAUGCAAACUGCGAAUACCGGAGAAUGUUAUCACGGGAGACACACGGCGGGUGCUAACGUCCGUCGUGAAGAGGGAAACAACCCAGACCGCCAGCUAAGGUCCCAAAGUCAUGGUUAAGUGGGAAACGAUGUGGGAAGGCCCAGACAGCCAGGAUGUUGGCUUAGAAGCAGCCAUCAUUUAAAGAAAGCGUAAUAGCUCACUGGUCGAGUCGGCCUGCGCGGAAGAUGUAACGGGGCUAAACCAUGCACCGAAGCUGCGGCAGCGACGCUGAUGCGUUGUUGGGUAGGGGAGCGUUCUGUAAGCCUGUGAAGGUGUGCUGUGAGGCAUGCUGGAGGUAUCAGAAGUGCGAAUGCUGACAUAAGUAACGAUAAAGCGGGUGAAAAGCCCGCUCGCCGGAAGACCAAGGGUUCCUGUCCAACGUUAAUCGGGGCAGGGUGAGUCGACCCCUAAGGCGAGGCCGAAAGGCGUAGUCGAUGGGAAACAGGUUAAUAUUCCUGUACUUGGUGUUACUGCGAAGGGGGGACGGAGAAGGCUAUGUUGGCCGGGCGACGGUUGUCCCGGUUUAAGCGUGUAGGCUGGUUUUCCAGGCAAAUCCGGAAAAUCAAGGCUGAGGCGUGAUGACGAGGCACUACGGUGCUGAAGCAACAAAUGCCCUGCUUCCAGGAAAAGCCUCUAAGCAUCAGGUAACAUCAAAUCGUACCCCAAACCGACACAGGUGGUCAGGUAGAGAAUACCAAGGCGCUUGAGAGAACUCGGGUGAAGGAACUAGGCAAAAUGGUGCCGUAACUUCGGGAGAAGGCACGCUGAUACGUAGGUGAAGUCCCUCGCGGAUGGAGCUGAAAUCAGUCGAAGAUACCAGCUGGCUGCAACUGUUUAUUAAAAACACAGCACUGUGCAAACACGAAAGUGGACGUAUACGGUGUGACGCCUGCCCGGUGCCGGAAGGUUAAUUGAUGGGGUCAGCGCAAGCGAAGCUCUUGAUCGAAGCCCCGGUAAACGGCGGCCGUAACUAUAACGGUCCUAAGGUAGCGAAAUUCCUUGUCGGGUAAGUUCCGACCUGCACGAAUGGCGUAAUGAUGGCCAGGCUGUCUCCACCCGAGACUCAGUGAAAUUGAACUCGCUGUGAAGAUGCAGUGUACCCGCGGCAAGACGGAAAGACCCCGUGAACCUUUACUAUAGCUUGACACUGAACAUUGAGCCUUGAUGUGUAGGAUAGGUGGGAGGCUUGGAAGUGUGGACGCCAGUCUGCAUGGAGCCGACCUUGAAAUACCACCCUUUAAUGUUUGAUGUUCUAACGUUGACCCGUAAUCCGGGUUGCGGACAGUGUCUGGUGGGUAGUUUGACUGGGGCGGUCUCCUCCUAAAGAGUAACGGAGGAGCACGAAGGUUGGCUAAUCCUGGUCGGACAUCAGGAGGUUAGUGCAAUGGCAUAAGCCAGCUUGACUGCGAGCGUGACGGCGCGAGCAGGUGCGAAAGCAGGUCAUAGUGAUCCGGUGGUUCUGAAUGGAAGGGCCAUCGCUCAACGGAUAAAAGGUACUCCGGGGAUAACAGGCUGAUACCGCCCAAGAGUUCAUAUCGACGGCGGUGUUUGGCACCUCGAUGUCGGCUCAUCACAUCCUGGGGCUGAAGUAGGUCCCAAGGGUAUGGCUGUUCGCCAUUUAAAGUGGUACGCGAGCUGGGUUUAGAACGUCGUGAGACAGUUCGGUCCCUAUCUGCCGUGGGCGCUGGAGAACUGAGGGGGGCUGCUCCUAGUACGAGAGGACCGGAGUGGACGCAUCACUGGUGUUCGGGUUGUCAUGCCAAUGGCACUGCCCGGUAGCUAAAUGCGGAAGAGAUAAGUGCUGAAAGCAUCUAAGCACGAAACUUGCCCCGAGAUGAGUUCUCCCUGACUCCUUGA
rnacentral:rRNA from 1 species